GGGAACAGGCACAGGGAGAGGGCACUGGCUGAGAGACACAUGGGACACCUCGGGGACAUCCUGUCCAAGUACGAGGAGGAGCGGAGCUCAGCCCUGGCCUUCGCCCUGAGCACGUUCAUGGCCCACGCCGGGAUCCGGGGCCGGGAGUGGCGCAGCCGUGAGAGCGAGAAAAUCCCCGAGAGGGACAAGUGGCUGCCCUUCUU